rnacentral:rRNA from 1 species
AUAACUCGAGGGAUACGCCUUUCGAGAAGAAAGAUUAAUACCUGAUAGACUUUUUUCAAGGCAUCUUGAGAAAGUUAAAGAUUUAUUGGUUAUGGAUGGGGAUGCGUUCCAUUAGAUAGUUGGUGAGGUAACGGCUCACCAAGUCUUCGAUGGAUAGGGGUUCUGAGAGGAAGGUCCCCCACAUUGGUACUGAGACACGGACCAAACUCCUACGGGAGGCAGCAGUGAGGAAUAUUGGUCAAUGGGCGAGAGCCUGAACCAGCCAAGUAGCGUGAAGGAAUGAAGGUCCUAUGGAUUGUAAACUUCUUUUAUAGUAGAAUAAAGUGAUCCACGUGUGGAUUUUUGUAUGUAUACUAUGAAUAAGGAUCGGCUAACUCCGUGCCAGCCGCCGC